GACGAACGCUGGCGGCGUGCCUAAUACAUGCAAGUAGAACGCACAGUUUAUACCGUAGCUUGCUACACCAUAGACUGUGAGUUGCGAACGGGUGAGUAACGCGUAGGUAACCUGCCUGGUAGCGGGGGAUAACUAUUGGAAACGAUAGCUAAUACCGCAUAAUAUUAAUUAUUGCAUGAUAAUUGAUUGAAAGAUGCAACUGCAUCACUACCAGAUGGACCUGCGUUGUAUUAGCUAGUAGGUGAGGUAACGGCUCACCUAGGCGACGAUACAUAGCCGACCUGGGAGGGUGGUCGGCCACACUGGGACUGAGACACGGCCCAGACUCCUACGGGAGGCAGCAGUAGGGAAUCUUCGGCAAUGGACGAAAGUCUGACCGAGCAACGCCGCGUGAGUGAAGAAGGUUUUCGGAUCGUAAAGCUCUGUUGUAAGAGAAGAACGGGUGUGAGAGUGGAAAGUUCACACUGUGACGGUAUCUUACCAGAAAGGGACGGCUAACUACGUG
rnacentral:rRNA from 1 species